rnacentral:rRNA from 1 species
AUUGAACGCUGGCGGCAGGCCUAACACAUGCAAGUCGAACGGUAACAGGAAGAAGCUUGCUUCUUUGCUGACGAGUGGCGGACGGGUGAGUAAUGUCUGGGAAACUGCCUGAUGGAGGGGGAUAACUACUGGAAACGGUAGCUAAUACCGCAUAACGUCGCAAGACCAAAGAGGGGGACCUUCGGGCCUCUUGCCAUCGGCUGUGCCCAGAUGGGAUUAGCUAGUAGGUGGGGUAACGGCUCACCUAGGCGACGAUCCCUAGCUGGUCUGAGAGGAUGACCAGCCACACUGGAACUGAGACACGGUCCAGACUCCUACGGGAGGCAGCAGUGGGGAAUAUUGCACAAUGGGCGAAAGCCUGAUGCAGCCAUGCCGCGUGUAUGAAGAAGGCCUUCGGGUUGUAAAGUACUUUCAGCGGGGAGGAAGGGAGUAAAGUUAAUACCUUUGCUCAUUGACGUUACCCGAAGAAGAAGCACCGGCUAACUCCGUG